rfam:Bombyx mori DNA, contig: Bm_scaf20_contig14451, strain: p50T/Dazao, build 2, whole genome shotgun sequence.
UUAACUCAAAUUUGUAUGGAGUUGGAUCGUUUGCCUUCGUUAACCGCUACCGCUGUUCCAACUGCAUACAAAUUUGAGUUA